rfam:Picea glauca, whole genome shotgun sequence.
AUGUAUAUUCCUACAACAUAGCGUUAAUGCACCAAAUCCCAUUAGAACUCCGCAGUUAAGCAUGCUCAUGAUAGAGUAGUAUUGGGAUGGGUGACCGCCUGGGAAGUCCUAGUAUUUUACAUG